GUACUAAAAUAUAAAUAUGAAGUGAGAGUAGGUUAUAUUAGUUUUUCAAUUUAAUUGAUUAUUCUUUACAUGUGUCUCAAUUGUUUCAGCCAUUUAUCGACUUAAAAACUCCAGAGGAAUCAAAAAAGGAGACGGCACGAUCCUCUAAACGUGCAAAAAAGUUGCGAUAGGCCUUCAGAAGAAUACCUUAUGUUCGCUGUUAGUGUUGAUGUACUAUCAGAGCACGUAUUUGACGUAGUAUUGAUGUGCUUUUUCAAUGCUAUUGACUGAGACGUCAAGUGAGAUUUCAUCCUUCAGUUUGCAGUUAUAGAGCAUUUCUCCACUGCUCGACGAAAAAUAGAUAAAUGAGCAAUAUAAUUUUUGUUUGGAAUGAUGUAUAGAAUAUUCAGCCCUGCAUUCAGAUUUGGGGUUCAAUCCAUUGUCAAUAUAUUUUAGCAUGCUUUGCUAUUC